rnacentral:lncRNA from 1 species
AAAGUGUGGAGCAACGGAAGUCAUUUUCUUUAAAGAUUCAGCAUCAUGCUCAGGUGGCAAUUGAUGCUGCAUGUUAGCAAUAUAGUUAUGGUUUUCAUAAUGGCGAUGAAAAUCCUGAGUUGCAGAAUCCUUAUGAGUGUCAAGUUUAGGUGGUGCCAGCAUUGUUGUUGUCAUAUCUUCAAAGUCCUGAGUUGCAGAAUCCUUAUGAGUGUCAACUUUAGGUGGUGCCAGCAUUGUUGUUGUCAUAUCUUCAGUAUUAUGUAAGACAUCUUGUUGAGAGGUACACGUGAGACUGUUCUUUAUGAGCUGGAAAGCAGAUGUUUGGCACAAAAAUUUGGUUGUUGAUACCACUGCUGGCUCACUUAUA